rnacentral:rRNA from 1 species
UACGUAGGGUGCAAGCGUUGUCCGGAAUUAUUGGGCGUAAAGAGCUCGUAGGCGGUUUGUUGCGUCGGCUGUGAAAUCCCGAGGCUCAACCUCGGGUCUGCAGUCGAUACGAGCAAACUAGAGUGUUGCAGGGGAGACUGGAAUUCCUGGUGUAGCGGUGAAAUGCGUAGAUAUCUGGAGGAACACCGGUGGCGAAGGCGGCAUCCUGGACCGGUAUUGACGCUGAGGCGCGAAAGCUAGGGGAGCAAACGGG